AUGAACGCUGGCGGCGUGCCUAAUACAUGCCAGUCGAGCGAACAGACGAGGAGCUUGCUCCUCUGACGUUAGCGGCGGACGGGUGAGUAACACGUGGAUAACCUACCUAUAAGACUGGGAUAACUUCGGGAAACCGGAGCUAAUACCGGAUAAUAUAUUGAACCGCAUGGUUCAAUAGUGAAAGACGGUUUUGCUGUCACUUAUAGAUGGAUCCGCGCCGCAUUAGCUAGUUGGUAAGGUAACGGCUUACCAAGGCAACGAUGCGUAGCCGACCUGAGAGGGUGAUCGGCCACACUGGAACUGAGACACGGUCCAGACUCCUACGGGAGGCAGCAGUAGGGAAUCUUCCGCAAUGGGCGAAAGCCUGACGGAGCAACGCCGCGUGAGUGAUGAAGGUCUUCGGAUUGUAAAACUCUGUUAUUAGGGAAGAACAAAUGUGUAAGUAACUAUGCACGUCUUGACGGUACCUAAUCAGAAAGCCACGGCUAACUACGUG
rnacentral:rRNA from 1 species